rnacentral:rRNA from 1 species
GCAAGUCGAACGGAAACAUGUCUAGCUUGCUAGAUGAUGUCGAGUGGCGGACGGGUGAGUAAUACUUAGGAACAUGCCUUUGGGUGGGGGAUAACUAUUGGAAACGAUAGCUAAUACCGCAUGAUGUCUACGGACCAAAGGGGGCUUUUAGCUCCCGCCCAGAGAGUGGCCUAAGCGAGAUUAGCUUGUUGGUGAGGUAAAGGCUCACCAAGGCGACGAUCUCUAGCUGUUCUGAGAGGAAGAUC